UUAUAAUUAGUUUAAUGUUAGGACUGUUUUGUUUUAAUUUUUGCAGUUCAAUGCAGUGAUUCUGAUCCACCAAUGUGGAAAUUAGAAGAUAUGGAGUGAAGCAAGUUUAUCACGCCAUUAAACUUCAGUUGUAGACUGUAAUUUUGGUAUAAUAAAGCUAAGAUCUCAUCGUGGAAUAAUUUUCUUGCUGAAUACGGACAGAUGUAUUUAAGAAAGAACCCGAGAACACGCCGGGCAUUUGUUUAGGUUAAAAUGCAUCGGGGCAAGAAUGCAGAAAGUCUUGACUGCGAAAAUAAUUGUGUCCGUCAUGUUUCUUGUUUGUAUUUAUUCAAAAAAUUCUAAGUCAUUUUGCUAGUAACUGCGCUCUUGCAUAUGGAAAAAAGUGUGCGCUUUUAACAGUGCCCGGAAAUUUUUCAAAAAUAAACGAAGUCUUUUGGCGGGAAAAUGGUAUGCGCUUUUAACGGUGCCUGGAAAUUUUUCAACAAUAAACUAAGUCUUUUAGCGGGAAAAAAGUCUGCGCUUUUAGAUGGAGUCUAGAAAUUUGUCAAAAAUAAACUAAGUCUUUUGGCGGGAAAAAUCUGUGCGGUUUGCAUUCAGAUUUGGCCCAUCAAAAGCCAGCCUUUAUUUUGACUUGUUACUAGACCCUGUUUAAAAGUGCAGAACGUUUUUCCGCGUCGGCAACCCUACAUAGUCAAAAAA